AAAACUAUACUUCCAGGAAUCAUUUCUAUAGUGUGUCCCUAGAGAAGUUCCUCAUUGUGUGAAGCACCCGAAACCACAAGGAGCCUGAACCGCCUCUCCUGUGCACGAAGCUGGGUCUAGGUGUUGCUUCUGCAACUGCCUUUUACCACUGAUGCUCGUUCUUCUCUUCUUUGGAACAGAGAGGGGGAGAGGAUGCAGUCUGAGUUGU